GCGCGCCGAGCCCCAAUCGGCCGCUGGUUGGGCGCACGCGCGGUGGUUGCUUGGCAGGAGUUCGAGGCGUGCGGCGUUGGGGCUUUCGUGAUGAUGGCUCCAGGUUCCUGUGACUGCAUAGGAGUCUUUUGGAUUAUGCUGUUUAUCUUUCCCAGUGCCCAAGAGAGCAAGAAGAGAGGCAGAGGGAGAGAAACUCAAGCAGACUCCCUGCUGAGCAAGAAGCCUGACUUGAGGCUUGAUCUCAAGACCCCGAAAUCAUAACCUGAGCUGAAAUCAAGAGUUGGACGCUUAACCCACUGAUCCACCCAGGCGCUCCCUCAUGAAGAAGAGAGAGACACAGCAAGAGAGGGAACACAAGCAGGGGGAGCGAGAGAGGAAGAAGCAAGCUUCCCGCGGAGCAGGGAUCCCGAUGUGGGGCUCGAUCCCAGGGCCCUGGGAUCAUGACCUGAGCCCAAGGCAGACGCUUAAUGACUGAGCCACCCAGGCGCCCCCCAUCACCUGUUUCACCUGUUCCCCCCAUCUCCCUCCC